CACGGGGGGAGCAAGCGUUGUUCGGAAUCACUGGGCGUAAAGGGUGCGUAGGCGGCUUGUUAAGUCAGGGGUGAAAUCCUGGAGCUCAACUCCAGAACUGCCUUUGAUACUGGCGAGCUCGAGUCCGGGAGAGGUGAGUGGAACUGCGAGUGUAGAGGUGAAAUUCGUAGAUAUUCGCAAGAACACCAGUGGCGAAGGCGGCUCACUGGCCCGGUACUGACGCUGAGGUGCGAAAGCGUGGGGAGCAAACAGG
rnacentral:rRNA from 1 species